rnacentral:rRNA from 1 species
GACGAACACUGGCGGCGUGCUUAACACAUGCAAGUCGAACGGGAUUUAGUAGACAGAAGCCUCGGCUAAAGAUUACUAAUGAGAGUGGCGAACGGGUGAGUAACGCGUGAGCAACCUGCCUAUGACAGUGGGAUAGCCUCGUGAAACCGGGAUUAAUACCGCAUAAAAUCGUAGAAACACAUGUUUUAACGGUCAAAGAUUUAUCGGUCAUAGAUGGGCUCGCGUCUGAUUAGCUAGUUGGUGAGAUAACAGCCCACCAAGGCGACGAUCAGUAGCCGGUCUGAGAGGAUGAACGGCCACAUUGGAACUGAGACACGGUCCAAACUCCUACGGGAGGCAGCAGUGGGGAAUAUUGCACAAUGGGGGAAACCCUGAUGCAGCGACGCCGCGUGAACGAAGAAGGUAUUCGUAUCGUAAAGUUCUGUCCUAUGGGAAGAUAAUGACAGUACCAUAGAAGAAAGCUCCGGCUAAAUACGUG